UGGGGAAUUUUGGACAAUGGGGGCAACCCUGAUCCAGCCAUGCCGCGUGAGUGAAGAAGGCUUCGGGUUGUAAAGCUCUUUCAGCCGGAAAGAAAUCGUGCAGAUUAAUACUCUGCAUGGAUGACGUAC
rnacentral:rRNA from 1 species